ensembl:lncRNA PDE9A-AS1 PDE9A antisense RNA 1
AGUACAGUGGCCCAGGGCAGACUAGCUGGAAUCAGCCUCCCGGGUGGGUUUCGAGGCGUUUCCAGGGUCAGGGGUCAAGUAGGGGCAUGUUCCCGGGACACUGCUUCUUUCUGCCAGAAGGACGAAGAAUCUGGAGAGUGCAAUAUUUGGAUCUGGUCCUGCUGAUGUGUUUCUGUGCUACAGAAACCUUCUCCACCCCUCUUCUACCCAACAGCUAGAGGACAUGGGGUCCGGAAGUGCAUGUGGCUGGAGCCAGUGUGGUCGCUGUCGUGAUGGCCGAGUCCAGAUGAGCUGCCGCUGGGGAAACACAGGGUACCUGAGGUCUGAGGUCGGGACGUCUUUGUCCAACCACUAAGAGUCCACAUUCUCCUUUGGAGCCGGGUCUCCGUUUUCUCCAGCAUCAUGGGCCCCUCAAGGAAGCUGAUGCAUGCCACAGGCUGUCUUCUCAGAAAAGGUACCCAAGAACACAUUUUGGGUUUGCAUGUGGAUUGGGAAGCCCAACGUGGCCUCCAGCGGUGCUCCUUGGCUUUGUCUAGACUGCAGGAUCCCACCCAUGCCCUGUGGAUUUGCCACGUGGACACUGACGUGAGCAAAUGGACAAUUCAACAUCAGUGGCAGAAAGGAGCUCAGUCUGGUUCACACGUGGAAGGCAGCACAUUCUGAAAGAGAAUCACUUGAACCCAGGAGGCGAAGGUUGCAUUGAGCCAAGAUUGUGCUAUUGCACUCCAGCCUGGACAACAGAGCAAGACUCUGUCUCUCAAAAAAAGAAAAAGAAAAGCGACGACAUUCAGUCAAUCAGCCAGAUAUUUUUGGUGAUGCUGCAACUCUUAAUGGUAUCCUGUCUGGAUUCUGUUUAUUUAGUUCCUAAGUUGGUAAAUACAGUGCCUGUUAAUCAUUAACCUUUGCCUUGUCAUUGACAAAGAGUUCACUUGUCAAGCUGUGAGUGGAACACAGAAUUGUGAGGCCUAUGGAAUUCAAGCAUUGAUCUUGAUAUUAUGGAUGAGGACAAAAAGGGUGGGUGACUUGAAGCUGUUUUCUUCCCAGAAUUUGAGCUUUGUGAUCAUUGAAUCAGGACUUGAAUCGACACUCCUUGGCUCCCUAGUCCUUUUUCUGCUUUUCCUUUGGUGGUGAUUGGAGGCUGUAGUAGGCUGUUCUUCUGUUGCUAUAAAGAGAUACCUGAGGCUGGGCAAUUUAUAAGCAAAAGAGGUUUGAUUGGCUCCCAGUUCUGUGGGCUUUACAGGAAGCCUGGUGCCGGCAUCUGCUUGGCUCUUGGGGAGGCCUCGAGAAGCCUCCAAUCAUGGUGGAAGGCAACGGAGAAGCAGGAGGGUAGAGAGAUGCCACGUGCUUUUAAACAACCAGAUCUUGCGAGAACUCACUAUCUCAAGGAGAGCACCAAGCCAUUUAGGAGGCAUCUGCCUGGUGACCCAAACACCUCCCACCAGCCCCACCUCCAACAUUGCGAAUGACAUUUCAACGUGAGAUGUGGAGGGGACAUCCAGACUGUAUCAGAAACCAAGAGAUAACAACUUAGUAGACAUAUUCCAAAAAAUUAUGACCCACAGGGUGCCGAUCAGUGUGCAGAGAAUGUCUUCAUUUACACACAAAAAGACACAGACAAGACACUCAGCAGAGGUUCUCAGAGGGGCUAAGUGCGGAAGGCUUCGUGUGUUCAUUUUUAUUCUUUGGGGCUGAAAGAAUGCUUUAUACCAUGAGCUGUGCUUCUUUUAAAAUAGAAAUAAAAUGCUUAGUUAGUC